GUUGGGUUUUUUGGCGGGCGUUGUGCAGCCAAAAAAAAAAAAAAAAAGGGAAAAAAAUAAAAAAGCAUGAGGUAGGCAGGGCUCCUCACCGUUGGCUCCGGCCGCCUUCACUGCUUCGUUGGCACCGCCCGGUGCGCUUAAAGGCAGCAGGUGAUUUCGGGAAGGGUGGCUGUGGAGAGGUUUCGCUCCGGGCGGUGAUGGGAAGGCGUUUCAGACCACUGCAGUGGUGAAAAUGGCCCGGGAACACCCUGAUCAGGCCCGAGGUUGCCUGCGGACCCUCUGAGGUCCAUAGACUGCUUCUAGCGGGGAAAGUAAGAACUGCAAGAAACAACCCUACUGACAUCAAGUUGUGAGUAUAUUAACAAGAGGGAGGCCUCACAUUAUGUACUAGGCAGAGUUUAGGAGUUAGCUGACUGAAAAACGUGGUAGAAACCCAUCAAUCUGGACAGAAGAACGUCAGCUGUGAAUUCCCCACUGUGAAAUGUACCCUCCAUGGACAUCUUCUCUACAGACAUUGACACGGCAUGUCUGGGAAUUUUCCAACAUGAGACUUGUUUCACUUGUGAAAUUUCCAGGAAAAUAAAAAUUGGAUUUGCAAAGUGUUCUCUGAAACACAAGAAGCCCAGUCUUCACAGUUCCUCGCUCAAAUCUGUCAGCUUUGCUGGAAAGCUACAGAGCCGCAGCAGCCAAGGAGCCGGUGACUGAAAGGAGCGCUGCAUCCAGUUAGCAUACAGUGCUACAAAACAAGGUGUGGCCUAACAGGAUGAAGACCAGAGGAUGGCAACGGGAGCGAUCAGACCUCUGAAAAACACAUGCCCUGGUUUUAACUCUGAAGUUUCCAUCUCCAGAAGCCCUUACCCUCCAGGACAGUUUAAAAGUCGUCCCUGUAAUCAAGCAUAUAAGUGCGUGGCCUUCAAGGUGGAUAAUACACUCCACAAGCAAAGACGACAUCUGCGUUUACAGUAUGAAGCCUGCCAGACAAGUUUUCCUUCAGCCUACCACCUGAUAAGGUCUCUUCACUUGCGGAGGUUGCUGGUCCCGACCUCGCGUGGCCGAGGAUGGGGGCAGGGCGGCAGAGUCCGUCCCUGCAGCCGUCCCCACCUCUGCUGACCUCGUGACUUCUCUGUGCAACCGCCUGCAAGACGAGGAGGUGACGCGCGGGCCUC
rnacentral:lncRNA from 1 species